GCUGGUUCUACAUGUUUAACCAGGAGCCAUGAGCAACCAGGACCUGAUCCUGAUCCUGAACCUGGUCCUGGAUCUGGACCUGGACCCAGCUGUGUGUCCAUGAAGAGUCAUCAGUCUAAUGAUUUGCCGAUCGACUUCAAAAAUGGACGCCCUUCUUAUGGCCCACGUUCACAUCAGCAGAGAGGAUCUGGACCCAGCUGUGUGUCCAUGAAGAGUCAUCAGUCUAAUGAUUUGCCGAUCAACUUCAAAGAUGGACGCCCUUCUUAUGACCCACGAGAGGACCAGGAGAGCUCAGAGGAGCUGGCUGGGCGUCUG